rnacentral:rRNA from 1 species
AGCAGCCGCGGUAAUUCCAGCUCCAAUAGCGUAUAUUAAAGUUGUUGCAGUUAAAAAGCUCGUAGUUGAAUUUCGGGAUCGACGGGUCGGUCGCGCCUCUGGUGUGUACUGGCCCUGUCGGUUUCUCCCUUCUGACGAACCACGAUGUCAUUAAUUUGGUGUCGUGGGAAAUCAGGACUGUUACCUUGAAAAAAUUAGAGUGUUUAAAGCAGGCAUUCGCUUGAAUACAUUAGCAUGGAAUAAUGAAAUAGGACGUUUGAUCUUAUUUUGUUGGUUUCUAAGAUCGACGUAAUGAUUAGUAGGGAUAGUUGGGGGCAUUAGUAUUCAAUUGUCAGAGGUGAAAUUCUUGGAUUUAUUGAAGACUAACUACUGCGAAAGCAUUUGCCAAGGAUGUUUUCAUUAAUCAAGAACGAAAGUUAGGGGAUCGAAGACGAUCAGAUACCGUCGUAGUCUUAACCAUAAACUAUGCCGACUAGGGAUCGGAUGAUGUUAAUUUUUAAUGUACUCAUUCGGCGCCUUA